CUCCCCAAUUAGUUUCUCUUCUAAUCGUUCUCGGCAGCAAGAAACCAAGACCUAUUCUUUCAACUUCUAUUCAAGUUUGAGAGGAAAAGCAAAACUUGCCGUGAAUCCAAUUUCUUUUGCUGCUAGGCAAUUUCUUCUCCCCAAAGGUGAAUUCUCGCAAGUGAAUCGUGAUACCAAGGGGAAGAAAGUACUUGAGAAUUAAGCUGUCGAGGUGGGCUUUCAUUUGCUAAACUCUUUUACACUUUCAAAAGUAUGAUUAUGGUGGAAUAAGGGUGGUUUAAAUUGUUAUGUCAUGCCAUGUUUAUUUUGAUGAUGAGAUUGUCGCCUGAUGCCUAGUUUGUG